rnacentral:rRNA from 1 species
ACGAACGCUGGCGGCGCGCUUAACACAUGCAAGUCGAACGGAAAGGCCUGCUUUCCCUUGUGGAUUGCGGGUACUCGAGUGGCGAACGGGUGAGUAACACGUGAGUGAUCUGCCCCCAACUUGGGUAUAAGCCUGGGAAACUGGGUCUAAUUCCCGAUAGGACUGCAGGGUGGUGCCUGUGGUGGAAAACGAUCUUCUAGUGGUUGGGGAUGAGCUCGCGGCCUAUCAGCUUGUUGGUGGGGUAAUGGCCUACCAAGGCGGCGACGGGUAGCCGGCCUGAGAGGGUGGACGGCCACAUUGGGACUGAGAUACGGCCCAGACUCCUACGGGAGGCAGCAGUGGGGAAUAUUGCACAAUGGGCGGAAGCCUGAUGCAGCGACGCCGCGUGGGGGAUGACGGCCUUCGGGUUGUAAACUCCUUUCGACCGCGAGGAAGCCACCUGGUUGGAAGGGUGGUGACGGUAGUGGUAGAAGAAGCACCGGCUAACUACGUG